rnacentral:rRNA from 1 species
CAGCAGCCACGGUAAUACGGAGGGUGCAAGCGUUAAUCGGAAUUACUGGGCGUAAAGCGCACGCAGGCGGUCUGACAAGUCAGAUGUGAAAUCCCUGAGCUUAACUUAGGAAUUGCAUUCGAUACUGGGAAGCUAGAGUAUGGGAGAGGAUGGUAGAAUUCCAGGUGUAGCGGUGAAAUGCGUAGAGAUCUGGAGGAAUACCGAUGGCGAAGGCAGCCAUCUGGCCUAAUACUGACGCUGAGGUACGAAAGCAUGGGGAGCAAACAGGAUUAGAUACCCCUGUAGUCCCUGUCUCUUAUAC